GGGGAAGCCAGGCGCCUGGUCCUGAGGUUACCGGAGCAGUCCUGUGGAGAGGCCCAAGUAGAGGGCAACCAAUUUGCCAGCACCACCUCGUCAACCAUAUGGAUAUCAAUCCUCCAUCUACCUAUUGACUGACCAUCUAAAAAACAUCACAGGGCUUGAGUCACCUGGAUUAUCGCCUCAGACUUCGAAAUGUUCUGUCGGCGGACUCUGUCACCCUCAUGGACCAGCUGCCCGAGCAACUUCGCAAGCUAAGAGAAAAACAAAAACAGGCAACUCUCCCUUUUGGCCUUCGGCACACACUCAACUUUCUGCCCAGGCUCAGAUGCACUAGUUCAAGGCUGUGUUUCCGGUUUGCCAGUGUGGGCUUCAACAACUCGCCACUACCUCAUGUGCUGGGAUUUUCACUGCAUUUGCAAGGCUAACGGACAGAUUUCAGAGCAAGCCUUGAAUCAAGAGACUUUCACAAUUUCCCCCUGGAAGACUGUAACAAGAUA